GACGAACGCUGGCGGCGUGCUUAACACAUGCAAGUCGAACGGUGAAGGGGUCUGCUUUUGUGGGCCCUGGAUGAGUGGCGCACGGGUGAGUAACACGUGAGUAACCUGCCCCCUUCUUCUGGAUAACCGCAUGAAAGUGUGGCUAAUACGGGAUAUUCUGGGUCUGUCGCAUGAUGGGUCUGGGAAAGAUUGCGCCUUUGGGUGUUUUUGGUUGGGGAUGGGCUCGCGGCCUAUCAGCUUGUUGGUGGGGUGAUGGCCUACCAAGGCGGUGACGGGUAGCUGGGCUGAGAGGGUGGACGGUCACAAUGGGACUGAGACACGGCCCAGACUCCUACGGGAGGGAGCAGUGGGGAAUAUUGCACAAUGGGCGCAAGCCUGAUGCAGCGACGCCGCGUGAGGGAUGGAGGCCUUCGGGUUGUAAACCUCUUUCGCAAGUGAAGCAGGCCUGCUCCUUGUGGGUGGGUUGACGGUAGCUGGAGAAGAAGCGCCGGCUAACUACGUG
rnacentral:rRNA from 1 species